rfam:TPA: Bos taurus chromosome 13, whole genome shotgun sequence.
UCCCUGGUGGUACAGUAGUUAGGAUUCAGCACUUCCACUGCUGUGACCCAGGGUCAAUCCCUGGUCAGGGAA